rnacentral:rRNA from 1 species
AUGAACGCUGGCGGCGUGCCUCAUACAUGCACGUCGAGCGAACAGACGAGGAGCUUGCUCCUCUGACGUUAGCGGCGGACGGGUGAGUAACACGUGGAUAACCUACCUAUAAGACUGGGAUAACUUCGGGAAACCGGAGCUAAUACCGGAUAACAUGUUGAACCGCAUGGUUCAACAGUGAAAGACGGUCUUGCUGUCACUUAUAGAUGGAUCCGCGCCGCAUUAGCUAGUUGGUAAGGUAACGGCUUACCAAGGCAACGAUGCGUAGCCGACCUGAGAGGGUGAUCGGCCACACUGGAACUGAGACACGGUCCAGACUCCUACGGGAGGCAGCAGUAGGGAAUCUUCCGCAAUGGGCGAAAGCCUGACGGAGCAACGCCGCGUGAGUGAAGAAGGUCUUCGGAUCGUAAAACUCUGUUAUUAGGGAAGAACAAAUGUGUAAGUAACUAUGCACGUCUUGACGGUACCUAAUCAGAAAGCCACGGCUAACUACGUG